ensembl:lncRNA
UCCACUUCCCUCCAUGAUGAUGUUAACUCUCUCUGUUAGCUCCACUUCCCUUCAUGAUGAUGUUAACUCUCUCUGUUAGCUCCACUUCCCUCCAUGAUGAUGUUAACUCUCUCUGUUAGCUCCACUAUGCACUUGCCUCUGCUAGUAACACACUGUGUUAACAUUAGCCUAGACUGGAACACAGAAAAUAACCGUUUUAAACAGUUGUAAAAAACAACUUCUUCCAGACAGAAUAGUUCCUGUAGAUUCAGACUCAUCACCAAUCUGUUGUUAUGUUUUGUGGGUUUCAUAACCACGUCUGUAUAACAAUUCAAUAAUGAUGAGACGGGAGACAGGAAUCAGUUCAACCAUUUAUCUGGAAAGUGAUCAUCUCUACACAUACAAACCCCCAUGAUGCUCUGCGCCACAACCCCAAUAAACAACAAAUACAUCAUACAUAGGUAAAAUGGACAGUAAACAAAACCCAGAGGACUUUAAAUGUUCAGUUCUAGAAAGUAGGACCAUGGGACAGGGUCAGAAAGGUCAUUAUAACACAGUGAAGUAGGACCAUGGGACAGGGUCAGAAAGGUCAUUAUAACACAGUGAAGUAGGGCCAUGGGACAGGGUCAGAAAGGUCAGUAUGUUUGAUACCUGGUUAUAGAGGUGACAUAACAAGCAUAAGGUCCAUUAUAACACAGUGAAUUAGAGGUGGGAGCUAAAAGCAGACAUGGACAGUGAGACGGUGUGAGGAGGUCAGGGGUCAAACACUAGAUCAGGACAGGUAGAAAUGGCAGGGCUGGAAAUAGACAGAGACACAUUCUGAUCAUGGCUCAGACCUGACCUGAGACACCCAAUCAGAAGAUGUCAUAACAAAGUCCUGACCUGAGACACCCAAUCAGAAGAUGCCAUAACAGAGUCCUGAC